rnacentral:rRNA from 1 species
UAGCUAGUUGGUGAGGUAAAGGCUUACCAAGGCGACGAUCUGUAGCGGGUCUGAGAGGAUGAUCCGCCACACUGGAACUGAGACACGGUCCAGACUCCUACGGGAGGCAGCAGUGGGGAAUUUUGGACAAUGGGGGCAACCCUGAUCCAGCCAUGCCGCGUGAGUGAAGAAGGCCUUCGGGUUGUAAAGCUCUUUCGGCCGGGAAGAAAUCGCAUGGGCCAAUACCCUGUGUGGAUGACGGUACCGGAAUAAGAAGCACCGGCUAACUACGUGCCAGCAGCCGCGGUAAUACGUAGGGUGCGAGCGUUAAUCGGAAUUACUGGGCGUAAAGCGUGCGCAGGCGGUUUUGUAAGACAGGCGUGAAAUCCCCGGGCUUAACCUGGGAACUGCGUUUGUGACUGCAAGGCUAGAGUACGGCAGAGGGGGGUGGAAUUCCACGUGUAGCAGUGAAAUGCGUAGAGAUGUGGAGGAACACCAAUGGCGAAGGCAGCCCCCUGGGUCGAUACUGACGCUCAUGCACGAAAGCGUGGGUAGCAAACAGGAUUAGAUACCCUGGUAGUCCACGCCCUAAACUAUGUCAACUAGGUGUUGGGUGGGUAAAACCAUUUAGUACCGUAGCUAACGCGUGAAGUUGACCGCCUGGGGAGUACGGCCGCAAGGUUAAAACUCAAAGGAAUUGACGGGGACCCGCACAAGCGGUGGAUGAUGUGGAUUAAUUCGAUGCAACGCGAAAAACCUUACCUACCCUUGACAUGCCAGGAACUUGCCAGAGAUGGCUUGGUGCCCGAAAGGGAACCUGGACACAGGUGCUGCAUGGCUGUCGUCAGCUCGUGUCGUGAGAUGUUGGGUUAAGUCCCGCAACGAGCGCAACCCUUGUCGUUAAUUGCCAUCAUUUAGUUGGGCACUUUAACGAGACUGCCGGUGACAAACCGGAGGAAGGUGGGGAUGACGUCAAGUCCUCAUGGCCCUUAUGGGUAGGGCUUCACACGUCAUACAAUGGUCGGUACAAAGGGUUGCCAAGCCGCGAGGCGGAGCCAAUCCCAGAAAGCCGAUCGUAGUCCGGAUUGCAGGCUGCAACUCGCCUGCAUGAAGUCGGAAUCGCUAGUAAUCGUGGAUCAGCAUGUCACGGUGAAUACGUUCCCGGGUCUUGUACACACCGCCCGUCACACCAUGGGAGCGGGUUCCGCCAGAAGUAGGUAGCCUAACCGCAAGGGGGGCGCUUACCACGGCGGGGUUCGUGACUGGGGUGAAGUCGAAACAAGGUAGCCGUAGGGGAACCUGCGGCUG